rnacentral:tRNA from 1 species
AAUGGCGCAGCGGACGGGAUUCGAACCCG